rnacentral:rRNA from 1 species
AGCGAACGCUGGCGGCAGGCUUAACACAUGCAAGUCGAGCGGGCACUUUCGGGUGUCAGCGGCGGACGGGUGCGUAAUGCGUGGGAACGUGCCCUCUGGUUCGGAAUAACUCAGGGAAACUUGAGCUAAUACCGGAUACGCCCUUUUGGUGAAAGGCUUGCUGCCGGAGGAUCGGCCCGCGUCUGAUUAGCUAGUUGGUGAGGUAACGGCUCACCAAGGCGACGAUCAUUAGCUGGUCUGAGAGGAUGAUCAGCCACACUGGGACUGAGACACGGCCCAGACUCCUACGGGAGGCAGCAGUGGGGAAUAUUGGACAAUGGGCGCAAGCCUGAUCCAGCCAUGCCGCGUGAGUGAUGAAGGGCUUAGGGUUGUAAAGCUCUUUUAUCCGGGACGAUAAUGACGGUACCGGAGGAAUAAGCCCCGGCUAACUUCGUG